UACGUAGGGUGCAAGCGUUGUCCGGAAUUAUUGGGCGUAAAGAGCUCGUAGGCGGUUUCGUAAGUCGGAUGUGAAAACUCCAGGCUCAACUUGGAGACGCCAUUCGAUACUGCGAUGACUUGAGUCCGGUAGGGGAGUGUGGAAUUCCUGGUGUAGCGGUGAAAUGCGCAGAUAUCAGGAGGAACACCGGUGGCGAAGGCGGGUCUCUGGGCAGUAACUGACGCUGAGGAGCGAAAGCGUGGGGAGCGAACAGG
rnacentral:rRNA from 1 species